GACGAACGCUGGCGGCGUGCUUAACACAUGCAAGUCGAACGGAAAGGCCCUGCUUUUGUGGGGUGCUCGAGUGGCGAACGGGUGAGUAACACGUGAGUAACCUGCCCUUGACUUUGGGAUAACUUCAGGAAACUGGGGCUAAUACCGGAUAGGAGCUCCUGCUGCAUGGUGGGGGUUGGAAAGUUUCGGCGGUUGGGGAUGGACUCGCGGCUUAUCAGCUUGUUGGUGGGGUAGUGGCUUACCAAGGCUUUGACGGGUAGCCGGCCUGAGAGGGUGACCGGCCACAUGGGGACUGAGAUACGGCCCAGACUCCUACGGGAGGCAGCAGUGGGGAAUAUGGCACAAUGGGCGGAAGCCUGAUGCAGCAACGCCGCGUGCGGGAUGACGGCCUUCGGGUUGUAAACCGCUUUCGCCGGUGACGAAGCGUGAGUGACGGUAAUGGGUAAAGAAGCACCGGCUAACUACGUG
rnacentral:rRNA from 1 species